UACGUAGGGAGCGAGCGUUGUCCGGAUUCAUUGGGCGUAAAGAGCUCGUAGGCGGCUUGAUAAGUCGGAUGUGAAACCUCCAGGCUCAACCUGGAGUCGCCAUCCGAUACUGUCAUGGCUAGAGUCCGGUAGGGGCCCACGGAACUCCUGGUGUAGCGGUGAAAUGCGCAGAUAUCGUAAGGAAGACCAGUGGCGAAGGCGGGUCUCUGGACAGUUCCUGACGCUGAGGCACGAAGGCCAGGGGAGCAAACGGG
rnacentral:rRNA from 1 species